rnacentral:rRNA from 1 species
UGCCACAGCCAUGUCACCCUGCAGCCCAAGACCGGUUACUCACUGAAGCUAAGCAGGGCUGAGCCUGGUCAGUACUUGGAUGGGAGACCACUAGGGAACACUAGGUUGCUGUUGGAA